UGAGCUACGUGUGAGGAGUAACAGUUAAUGAGGAAUAGACUAAGCCUUGCAAAGAUGAGAAUCCAGCCUUCAAACAGUCUAAUCCUCGAUUUAAAAAUUAAGGUACUCUGCCUCUUAUUAUCAUGACUGCCAGGGGUUAAAGUAAAUCCUCUUUGGAGUAAAAUAAUAUUAUCCAGAGCCUUAUAGCUUUUCCUACACAGUAUCAAAAACAACAACACAUAUUGGACAAGCAUCAAGAGGAAAAAACUGGUAUCUAGAGGGCUCAGUCAGUGAAGCAUCCCACUCUCGAUUUCAGCUCCGGUCAUGGUCUCACAGUUUGUGAGAUGGAGUCCUGUAUUGCACAGAGCCCACUUGGGAGGAUUCUCUCUCUCCCUCUCUCUCUGCCUGACCCUGCUGGCGUGCUCUCUCUCAAAAUAAAUAAAUAAACCUUUAAAAAAAAAAGGGGGGGGGAUAAACAGAUCCAGAGGGGCUCAAGAAAUUAGACUGAGCAGACGUGAACUUCAAAAUUACUGAAAGUAGGGGUGCCUGGCUGGCUCAGUCGGUAGAGCAUGCAACACCUGAUCCUGGGGUUGUGUUAGAGCCCCACAUUGGGCGUAAGAGAUUACUUAAAAAAAAUAAUAAAGAAAUAAAGUUACUGAAAGUAAUAGGUUCAAGAAAAGCUAUGGUAAAAUGGAGAAUUUCACCAGACCAGUCUAAGCUAUUACAAUAAAAAUUAAAAUUAAAAAAAAAAAGAGGUAGCCCCAUAUCCGGGGCCCACGUGGGAGAUGAAGAAGGAAGGAAGGAAGGAAGGAAGGAAGGAAGAAGGUAGUUAGGAAGGAAGGAAGGAAGGAAGGAAGGAAGGAAGGAAGGAAGGAAAUAAAUGGAAAUCCUAGAGGUAAAGUUUAGUAAACAAAAUUAACUCAAUUACACAGAGCUGACGAAUUUGUGUGCGAGGAGGAUGAAAAGAAAAAAAGGAGAGAGAAAAAAAGUGUAAAAUAUAUAUGGAACCUUGUGAAAGUUUCACACAUAUGUGUAAAUAAGAAGCAAAAAGAGAAUAAAAAAGAGGAUGCAGAAGUAGCACUCGUUGAAAAGAUAACGGCCAAAAAAUUUUCCCAAACUGACAGAAGAUAUCAAGUCACAGAUUAAAGGUCUGCACACCUGGGGACAUCACGGUAAGACUACUGAAAACCAAAGACUCAGAAAAAAAUACCAAGGACAACGACAGAAAAGACCCAUAUUAUCCACAACAGAGCAAUGAGCCUGACACGGACUCAACAGAAACUACAGAAGUAAGAAGACCAUGAAAUCAGUCUUGAAAACACUAACUUAUGAAGAACUAACCUAUAUUUCCAUAUCCAGUAAAAAGAUCCUCUUAAAAUGAAGGCAAAGUAAAGAUGUUUUCAAACAAUAGCUCACAGCAUUCACUGCUAACAAAUCUGUGUUAAGGGGAUUUCCUAAUCCCCUCCUAAGGGGAAUUUUUUAGGCAAGAGGAAAGUGACCUCAGAGAGGAACACAGACAAGGAAUGAAGAGCGAUGGCAAAGGUAACCAUUGAAGUAAAAAUAAAUGAGUACUGGAUUCCACAAAAUAAUAAGAACAGUUAUGCUGCAUAAUUAUGGGUGUGCUGUAUAAUAUUAGGGCUUAAGAACACAAAGAGUUGGAGCUCCUGGGUGGCUCAGUCGGUUGAGCAUCUGACACUUGAUUUUGGCUCAGGCCAUGAUCCCACGGUCACAGGAUCGAGCCCCUGCAUCGGGCUCUGUGCUCAGCCUGGAGCCUGUUUAAGAUUCUCUCUUUCUCUCCCUCUGCCCCUCUUCCCCACUUCUACUCUAAAAUUAAAAAAAAAAAAAAAAAAAAGAACACAAAGAGUUAAAAUGUAUGACACUAACAACACAAAAUCAAUCAGAAAGGGAAUAAAUGAAGUUUAUGUGUGCUAAGGUUCUUGUAUUGUUUGGGAAGUGAUAAAAAUACUAGUUAGUUGAUUUCAAGGGUAACCAUUAAAAGAAUAGUAAAAUAACAUAAAAACCAGUAAGAAAGAGGGAAAUGAUGAAACAAAAAAUAAAUAACCCGGAAGAGGACAUAAGGAGAAGAAAAAGGAACAAAAAACAGGUAGGACACAAAUAGGAAACAAGUAAUUAAGAUGAAAGAUUUAAAUCCAAAUAUAUUCGUUAUUACAUUAAUGUAAAUAAAUUAAAAUCCCAAUUAAAAGACAAAUUGACAGACUGUUUAAAAAAAAAAAAACAUCAAUAUAUGCUGCUUAUAAGAGAUUCACCUUAAUUACAAGGACCCAGAAAGACUGAAAGAAAAUGGAAA